CUGCUGCCUCCCGUAGGAGUCUGGGCCGUGUCUCAGUCCCAGUGUGGGGGGCCUUCCUCUCAGAACCCCUACGCAUCGUCGCCACGGUGGGCCGUCACCCCGCCGUCUAGCUAAUGCGCCGCAUGCCCAUCCGCCACCGGAUCGCUCCUUCGGCCACCGGAGGAUGCCCUCCGGUGGCGUCACGGGGUAUUAGGCCGCGUUUCCGCGGGUUAUCCCCCUGUGGCGGCCAGGUUGCAUACGUGUUACUCACCCGUGCGCCGGUCGCCGGG
rnacentral:rRNA from 1 species